ACGGCCGUUAGUAGGUAGAUAUCGGCGCUACCGAACGGGCUAUCCACCGCCGUCGGCGCCUCGCCGGAAAGUUGAAGCACUUCCCGGACCAACCAAGAAGCCCUCGUGCGCAUUAAUAAGUCGUCAUCGAGAAGCAAGAGGUGACGCCGCCUUUAAAUCCUCGUUCCCUCUUAUUCUCCUCCUCAUUCCCCUUUCUUUAUUUCUUUUCGCUUCGAUUAUGCUUCGAAUCCGCCCCCAUUAUGGCUCUUCCGCCCGUCCUCUCCCUCCUCCUCUUCUUCUCCGACCGCCGACGCCCGGUUCUUCUUUCGCUGCGAAAUUCCUGAACUCGAUCCCUCUCUUCGUCCCACGAUUCGAUGGAUCUCACCGCCGGAGAUCUCUUCCUCCCCCUGCAAGGCUUCCCUCGGUGAUGGCGAUCAAGGGACCGUCGGUGAUGGCUGCGGUGCCGAUGACGAUGACCAAUUCCUCCCGGCCGUUCUCUUCGUCUCAGGUCCCGUUGCUUUUCCCCCUUCAUUCUUGUCUCUCGCGGUAUACGAGAUAUCAUUUAGAUUUUAGUUAGGAAUUGAAAUUGGGGAUAGAUGUCUUCACGAGAACACACUGACGAAUAAAUGUGUGAAAGAAGAUCUAAGUUGGUCUACCGGACUUGUAAAAGUUUUGGGGUUGUCUGUUCAAUGCUUAGCAUGGUUCAAGAACUUGAUGAGGAUUCUGUUGCAGUUUCAACUUGUUUGUUCAUUUUUAAUGAUCCGUUGUCUUGAAUCCCAAGAAAAACUUUUUCUGGUUAAUUCGCGAUUUCCAAAUCAGAUUUGAAGUUAGAAAUUACUUUUUGUGGUUUCUAAUAUAGAUUCUGUACAAUAUGUAAGUAGAGAAAAAAUUUGUUACCAGUGACAUGGUUUUGGUCCUGCCCCUCAGUGAUUUAGGCUGGGUUUCAUCCCAUCAAGAAGAAAAGAUUGUUGCCACUUGUUAUACUGAUUCAAAAUCCACAUUCUAAAUUCAUCAUUUUCUUUAACAAUGUCGACAAUGCUUCAUGUCUUGUAAGUAACAGAGUAUCAUUGUUUUUCAUAUUUUACUAAUCUUUGCUAGGCUUUGUUGUAUCACACCUUCAUCUGAUGACAUUUGAUGUUUGUAGACAGCUAGAUAUGUUUUUCUUGUAGACAAUUGUCUGCCUUUUUUUUUUCUACAUUGUGUUGAAACCUUGCUAUUGACCCUAAGGAAGAAAGGCAAGUCAAGGACAAGGUAAGGCACUGACAGGAUAUACAGAAUAACAUGAACCUGACUUCGAAGACUCCCGGGCAGAGGCUAGCCUCACACACGAAUACAAAAAGACUGACAAAGUCUGGGCAACUACAAGAAACACUCAUAUAAUGUGUAUCCAUGCACAAGCAAACUCAUAUAUGCCGGUUCUCAAAAGCAAAAAGAAAAGCAAAGGAUUGGCAUGCCUGAUGCAUAUGCGACAAAUCGAAUUUAAGUGUUGAAGAGAUCAACUAUGCUUCUGUCCAUGGCCUCCUUGGACCGAUUGAUGUAAUUAAAUGCUCAUUUUUGUACGAUCCAACUAUAAUAAUGAGUUAUUAAAUUCAAAGUAUAGGAGUGGUCCUUCGAACCAUUCAUUGCUUGGAGUAUAGCAAUUUAGAUAGUAAAGAUUCUUUUGCCUUAUAAUUAGAACCAUGCAACCAUAUGUGCAACUUCUAGAACAAUCUUUCACAAACAAACUAAGCAUCUCGAUGAUGAUUGCGUCUUAACCAUAGCUGCCAAACCUUGUCUAAAACUCUUUAGGGUCUUCUUAUUGCUACUUUAUCCAUUAAUAGUUUCUGUUAAAGGUAACACUUAGUGUUAUUCUAAACUUGUGUAAAUCCUUUCUUAAAAUUUUUAUCCAUGUUAACUUAGGUCUCCUCUUAUUUUUGGUACUCCAAUGCAUUUUCAAGCACCUCUCGGAACCGAGGUCUUCUCAAAUCUUCUUUACAGAAGUCCAUACCAGCUCAGUUGUUUCUCCACCACAUCAUUCUUAACUAAUGUUGUGCAUAUACUUACUUUGAUGUACUCAUUUGUCACUCUCUAGUUUUGUGUUUUACCAAUAAAUCCAUCCUAACAUUAUUGUUUCUGUUUGAUCAUCUUAUUUUCAUGGAAUCUUUUCAACAUUUUGAACUAAACAGCAUUGCAAGGUAUGUUCUUUACCACUAUUUUACAAAGUCUUACCUUGUAUUUCCAAGACUUUUCAUGGUGACAUAACACCCUUAAGAUACCUCUCUGGUUGAAGUAAAUUUGUCAUCAUUAAACUCGUUAUCUCCUUCAUUAUUCAUUAUAAUCAAGUGGCAGAUAUUAUUGCCAAGGAAACUGGACACGCUCAUGAUCAUCCCUUGGAGGCCAAGUUGGAUAUGCUUGAUCUCUAUAUGCACCACUAGCUUAUGGAGUAGUGUUAAUUAUAUGGUUUGUCUCUGAUUCUAAAUCUUUUGUACUCUGUAGGAUAACAAGGAGCAGCACAACUAAAACUCAUACUAACAUCCUUCAAUCCACCUCUUUUCUUUCUCUUCUUUCUCACCUACUUCCCCUUUUGCUUCUUUCUUCCUCAUUUUCCCAUCUUUUCGUUUAUGUGGUAACUCACCAACAAGAAGGAACUCUUAUAAAUAAUCCAAGUACUUUAAUCCAGUUUCUGAAACCAUGGUCCUUACCUUAUUAUCACAUCAAGUGCCUGGUGGGCUUAUAAAAAUCAUUCUCAGUUACCACUUUCACAUUGUGUAUCUGAUAGAGAGCCCUGGUAGGUACUGCUGGAGUGGCAUGUAGUUAUGGUGCCACUCAUGAUACUGCCCCAUGUACUCCAAAAAUUGCCUUGGAUCAUGCUAUAGAUAACUUAAACCAUCUGUAUAUGCAUUAGCACUGGAACACCAACGGCUGUGGGCUAGUAUGGUCCAAUCUGAUUAUAUGCAAAGAAGGCAUCUCAAUUAUUGUAUACCCUGAACCUUAAGUAAAAAUGCCCUGAACGGACCAUAAGAGUCGUAUAUGGACCUAAACACAAUUCAGAUAAUAGAAGACGAUAAUUCAGAUGUUAACCUUGAGUUGGAGGUGUCAUGGAAUCCAUGCUAAUAUGAUGGAAGAGAGUUCGGAUGGUUCAUCCCAUUGGUAGUAAAGAUUGAUGACACCCAACCACCUUAUCAAUCUGACUCCCUUCUUGGUGGCUCUUAAGCUUUUUUCAUAUGGACCUAAUAGUGCCCCUUAUGGAAAUUUGUAGAUUCUCUUCUCCAUAUCCUUGCUUCUCUAUUAUCGCCUGAAGGGAGGAAGAUGACUGUCUCUAGGAUUAUGAUCAAAUCUAGGAUGUAGUGACUAAAAUCGGCCUUGUAUGUAAAUAAGCUUAGUUCCACUUGUGCUCGCCCUGUGUCCACACCACCAUGGCCAUUAGUAGUCACAUCACUGGAGCUACUAUCAUGGUCAUUCUUAUUGUUGUCUCUGGAUGAUGCGAGCAAGUCACAAUCUGAAGGCACCAGAGUCUGGCAGUGUUUGCUGUAUGCAGUCUCUAAGGAUCAACCGGGAUCUUCCCUUUAGUUUUACUAUUUUCUUCAACUAGCCUGACUGAUCUAUGUAGAGUUUCUUUCUUGCCUAGCUCUAAAACUCUAAAUAGUGCCUGAUUGGCCUUGUUGACAAUAUAUCCUAAAAUUAAUCUGAAGGAACAUUAUUACAUCAGUUAGUUUCAGGUUUAAUGUGCCUUAGGUAAGGAUUUUUGAUCGUCUAAUUUGACCUUAGAAAGACUGAUGUUUUAGGGCAUGCAUUCAGUAUAUGUGCAACAAAAGAUUUAGCCAACUAGUAAUCCCUUCCUAUGAUCUUCAAAAUUACGUUAUUUUUGCAUACGUGUUCUUGGCUUGACUCAUGUAGAUCUGAUUUGCUUCAGGCUCCCCUCGGCUGAAAUGUUGAAAUGGCAAGAGACAAUAAAAAGGGUUUAUGGCUGUUUAAGCUCAGUAUCAAGCAGUACCAGCAGGUGCCGUUCUUGCUUGUAGAUACCAUUCAAUACCACUAGAUUUGGAGUGGUUCUACCUGGACCGGUGCUGGGUGUGUUAGCUGCUGGUUCCUUGUUGGUAUGGGCGUAUGACACAUACCAUCUAGCAUGUUCCGGCAAGGCCAGCACCUAAAUCCUUGCAUCCAAUAGAAUUCCAGCCAAGAAAAAUGUUCCUCAAUUAGUCAAACCUGACAUACUUUCUGACCUGUCAAAGCAGGCUGCAUUAUGUCAUGAUGCAUGUAAAGAAAGACAAAAAGAAGCAUAUAAAGAAGGAAAUGGAACAAAUAAGAUUAAAUGGAGGAAGAACAGACAGAAUCUUGAAGAAAUUAAAUCUUAUUCAGAAUAUGACUGCUCAAGAGAAUGAAUCCUAUAUUGAAUUUAUAUCCAAGUAGCUGAUCAACUGGAUCUUACCCUAAAACAAAUUUUAGUAGUAGAUUAUUGGAAAGAAAGAUGAAAACUACUCGAGAAACCUGCCACCAUAAAGUGUUCCCCAAUCUAAUUUUCUCUGUAGAGAAGGGCCUCAACUAGAUUUUUAUCCUGUUUAAAUCUCUAUUUUCCUCAAUAUAAUAAUUGAUUGGUCCAAUGUCUUUCUCUAGGUCCUUUUAUGCACUGCUUCCUGCCAAUUAUGCUAUUACUUUAAGUUGAAUCUAACCCUGUGUCUAUUGCAUAUUACUCUCUUCCAACAUUGCAACGAUGCAUUAGUAUGACGAUGAUCCUUGUGCUUCCAUCUGACAUGGAUUUGGGCCUAUUGGGCCUAUAAUUUCUUCAUACAAGAAUGACAUAAUUAUUAUAGGACAAGAUUACUAUAGAUCAUCUACGUGUACUUCAUCAAGUCAUAUUACUACAUUAACAUAACUGUGUGUUCUCACAUUGCUCGAAGUCAAAUUAGUUGGAAUCCCAGUCGUUAGCAAGUCCAUAUGCAUUCUGCAAACCAAGACAGUGCAUCUGUAGCACUAGAAAAUAUUAGGUUGAAAAGAGUGC